AUUGAACGCUGGCGGCAUGCCUUACACAUGCAAGUCGAACGGUAACAGGUCUUCGGAUGCUGACGAGUGGCGAACGGGUGAGUAAUACAUCGGAACGUGCCCGAUCGUGGGGGAUAACGGAGCGAAAGCUUUGCUAAUACCGCAUACGAUCUACGGAUGAAAGCAGGGGACCGCAAGGCCUUGCGCGGACGGAGCGGCCGAUGGCAGAUUAGGUAGUGGGUGGGGUAAAGGCCCACCAAGCCAACGAUCUGUAGCUGGUCUGAGAGGACGACCGGCCACACUGGGACUGAGACACGGCCCAGACUCCUACGUGGGGCAGCAGUGGGGAAUUUUGGACAAUGGGCGCAAGCCUGAUCCAGCAAUGCCGCGUGCAGGAAGAAGGCCUUCGGGUUGUAAACUGCUUUUGUACGGAACGAAACGGUCCGGGUUAAUACCCUGGGCUAAUGACGGUACCGUAAGAAUAAGCACCGGCUAACUACGUGCCAGCAGCCGCCGUAAUAC
rnacentral:rRNA from 1 species